CCUACGGGCGGCAGCAGUGAGGAAUAUUGGUCAAUGGACGAGAGUCUGAACCAGCCAAGUAGCGUGAAGGAUGACUGCCCUAUGGGUUGUAAACUUCUUUUAUAUGGGAAUAAAAUGUUCCACGUGUGGGAUUUUGUAUGUACCAUAUGAAUAAGGACCGGCUAACUCCGUGCCAGCAGCCGCGGUAAUACGGAGGGUCCGAGCGUUAUCCGGAUUUAUUGGGUGUAAAGGGAGCGUAGGUGGAUUGUUAAGUUAGUUGUGAAAGUUUGCGGCUCAACCGUAAAAUUGCAGUUGAAACUGGCAGUCUUGAGUACAGUAGAGGUGGGCGGAAUUCGUGGUGUAGAGGUGAAAUGCUUAGAUAUCACGAAGAACUCCGAUUGCGAAGGCAGUUCACUGGACUGCAACUGACGCUGAGGCUCGAAAGCGUGGGUAUCAAACAGGAUUAGAUACCCUAGUAGUC
rnacentral:rRNA from 1 species